rnacentral:rRNA from 1 species
CCUACGGGUGGCAGCAGUGGGGAAUAUUGCGCAAUGGGCGAAAGCCUGACGCAGCGACGCCGCGUGAGGGAUGAAGGCCUUCGGGUUGUAAACCUCUUUCAGCGCCGAAGAAGCGUAAGUGACGGUAGGCGCAGAAGAAGCACCGGCUAACUACGUGCCAGCAGCCGCGGUAAUACGUAGGGUGCAAGCGUUGUCCGGAAUUAUUGGGCGUAAAGAGCUCGUAGGCGGUUUGUCGCGUCUGCUGUGAAAACUCGGGGCUUAACUCCGGGCUUGCA